rnacentral:rRNA from 1 species
UACGAAGGGGGCUAGCGUUGUUCGGAAUUACUGGGCGUAAAGCGCACGUAGGCGGAUUGUUAAGUUAGGGGUGAAAUCCCAGGGCUCAACCCUGGAACUGCCUUUAAUACUGGCAAUCUCGAGUCCGAGAGAGGGUAGUGGAAUUCCCGGUGUAGCGGUGAAAUGCGUAGAGAUCGGGAGGAACACCAGUGGCGAAGGCGGCUACCUGGACCAGCACUGACACUGAGGCGCGAAAGCGUGGGGAGCAAACAGG